GGGUUCUUCAAUCUGUGUCUUUGAGAGAGAGAGAGAGAGAGAGAAUUGGGAGGUGUUGACUCUCUAAAUCAUCAGCUCCAGCCAAAACAUAUAUCGAUCGCUUAGAAUUCAGAAGAGAAGAGGAGAGAAGAGAAGAGAAGAGAUGGAGGAAGAUGAUCAUGCUGCUGGAGGAGGAGGUGGUGGUUCAAAGGUAAAAGAAGCUGCAGGUGUUGAAGGAGAUCAUGUUGACGAGGCUUUGAAGAAAUGCUUGGAGGAGAAUAAAGAUGAUUUGACCAAAUGCAAGUCUAUGGUUAAGUCAUUCAAGUCUUCUUCUUCUUCUUCUUCUCCCAUGAAGAAGAAGAAACCAGUAACACCUUUUUCAAGGCUGAGAUGUUCACUAACUGAUGUUUGAAAACCCAGCUGUUAAUUACUAUUACUAUUACUUACUUAUCCUCUGCUACAACCAACAGACAAACAAUGAAUUGUUGAUGAGAAGAAAUUAGUGGUGAUCAGGAUAGAUAGAUAGACGAUUACAACAAUUUGAUGUUUGUCUUUCUGUCUCCAGGUUUCAAUUUCAAUUGAUUGACUACUUACUUCA